AGGGGCAGCAUAACGAAAGCUUGCUUUUGUUGAUGGCGUACCGGCGCACGGGUGAGUAACGCGUAUCCAACCUUCCCUAUACUAGAGGAUAGCCCGGCGAAAGUCGGAUUAAUACUCUAUGUUCUUCGUAGAAGACAUCUGAAAUGAAGCAAAGGUUUACCGGUAUAGGAUGGGGAUGCGUCUGAUUAGGUUGUUGGCGGGGUAACGGCCCACCAAGCCUACGAUCAGUAGGGGUUCUGAGAGGAAGGUCCCCUACAUUGGAACUGAGACACGGUCCAAACUCCUACGGGAGGCAGCAGUGAGGAAUAUUGGUCAAUGGACGAGAGUCUGAACCAGCCAAGUAGCGUGCAGGAUGACGGCCCUAUGGGUUGUAAACUGCUUUUAUACAGGGAUAAAGUGCACUACGUGUAGUGUUUUGUAGGUACUGUAUGAAUAAGGACCGGCUAAUUCCGUGCCAGCAGCCGCGGUAAUACGGAAGGUCCGGGCGUUAUCCGGAUUUAUUGGGUUUAAAGGGAGCGCAGGCUGAUGAUUAAGCGUGACGUGAAAUGUAGCCGCUCAACGGCUGAACUGCGUCGCGAACUGGUUAUCUUGAGUGAGUUCGAUGUUGGCGGAAUUCGUGGUGUAGCGGUGAAAUGCUUAGAUAUCAC
rnacentral:rRNA from 1 species